rnacentral:misc_RNA from 1 species
GAUGAAGAACGCAGCGAAAUGCUAUAAGUAAUGUGAAUUGCAGAAUUCAGUGAAUCAUCGAAUCUUUGAACGCACAUUGCGCCCCCUGGUAUUCCGGGGGGCAUGCCUGUCCGAGCGUCAUUACAACCCUCAAGCUCAGCUUGGUGUUGGGCCCCGCCGCCCCGGCGGGCCCUAAAGUCAGUGGCGGUGCCGUCCGGCUCCGAGCGUAGUAAUUCUUCUCGCUCUGGAGGUCCGGUCGUGUGCUCGCCAGCAACCCCCAAUUUUUUUCAGGUUGACCUCGGAUCAGGUAGGGAUACCCGCUGAACUUAAGCAUAUCAAUAAGCGGAGGA